AUUAGAGUUUGAUCAUGGCUCAUAACGAACGCUGGCGGCGUGCCUAACACAUGCAAGUCGAACGAGAAGUACCGUAGCAAUACGGUAUUGUAAAGUGGCGCACGGGUGAGUAACACGUGGGUAAUCUGCCCUUGAGUUUGGGAUAACCCCGCGAAAGCGGGGCUAAUACCGAAUAAGACCACGGGGACCAAAGUCCCUGAGGUAAAAGACGGCCUCUAUUUAUAAGCUGUCACUUGAGGAUGAGCCCGCGGCCCAUUAGCUAGUUGGCAGGGUAACGGCCUACCAAGGCGAUGAUGGGUAGCUGGUCUGAGAGGACGAUCAGCCACACUGGAACUGAGACACGGUCCAGACUCCUACGGGAGGCAGCAGUGGGGAAUAUUGCGCAAUGGGCGAAAGCCUGACGCAUCAACGCCGCGUGGGGGAUGAAGGUUCUCGGAUUGUAAACCCCUUUCGAUCGGAACGAAUCUCCUCUUGGUAAAUAAUCAGGAGGAUCGACGGUACCGGGAGAAGAAGCCACGGCUAACUCUGUGCCAGCAGCCGCGGUAAGACAGAGGUGGCGAGCGUUGUUCGGAUUUAUUGGGCGUAAAGCGAACGCAGGUGGUUUGGUAAGUCAGAGGUGAAAGACCACAGCUUAACUGUGGCACUGCCUUUGAUACUGCCUUUCUAGAGUGCAUGAGGGGGAAGCGGAAUUCCGAGUGUAGAGGUGAAAUUCGUAGAUAUUCGGAGGAACACCGGUGGCGAAGGCGGCUUCCUGGCAUGUAACUGACACUCAUGUUCGAAAGCGUGGGUAGCAAACAGGAUUAGAUACCCUGGUAGUCCACGCCCUAAACGAUGGGCACUAAGUGUGGGAGGUAUCGACCCCUUCCGUGCCGCACUUAACGCAUUUAAGUGCCCCACCUGGGGAGUACGGCCGCAAGGCUUGAAACUCAAAAGGAAAUUGACGCGGGGCCCGCACUAGCGGUGGUGCAUGUUGGUUUUAAUCUCGACGCAACGCGAAUAACCCUUACCUAGGCUUGACAUCCCUUGGAAACCUCCCGGGUAUACGGGGGGG
rnacentral:rRNA from 1 species